rnacentral:rRNA from 1 species
CCUACGGGAGGCUGCAGUGAGGAAUAUUGGUCAAUGGACGAGAGUCUGAACCAGCCAAGUAGCGUGAAGGAUGACUGCCCUAUGGGUUGUAAACUUCUUUUAUAUGGGAAUAAAACGUUCCACGUGUGGGAUUUUGUAUGUACCAUAUGAAUAAGGAUCGGCUAACUCCGUGCCAGCAGCCGCGGUAAUACGGAGGAUCCGAGCGUUAUCCGGAUUUAUUGGGUUUAAAGGGAGCGUAGGUGGAUUGUUAAGUCAGUUGUGAAAGUUUGCGGCUCAACCGUAAAAUUGCAGUUGACACUGGCAGUCUUGAGUACAGUAGAGGUGGGCGGAAUUCGUGGUGUAGCGGUGAAAUGCUUAGAUAUCACGAAGAACUCCGAUUGCGAAGGCAGUUCACUGGACUGCAACUGACACUGAGGCUCGAAAGUGUGGGUAUCAAACAGGAUUAGAUACCCCUGUAGUC